ensembl:lncRNA
ACAUAUUUGAAAAAUCAGACCGGAGCUGGUUCAUAAAUCAGGAUUUCGGUUGCAUGGUAUUUAUGGAGUGGAAAGUGCAGCCCUGCUCUCAAAGUGAAUUGAAGCCUUUCUUCUCUGUAUGCUGCUCACCUGAAUAAAAUGAUACUGAGUUUCAGACUGAUGACAGACGGAUACAGAAAGACAAAGAUGUGUGGUUUGGAGGCUGUGGUUACACAGUGAAGAGGACAGACGCCAUACCAGAGAGAAGACACUGUUGACUCACAGCUGUUUAAAUAUGCCUGCUUCACUUCUAGAAGUGUUACAUUAUGCCUAAACUUCA